AACACUUUGUGUUUGUUCAACUGGUGGACAAAGGCAUGAAAGACAGGUGCUAAAAGAAACCCUCUUUUGCAAAACAGAACUUAUUGUUCAGUAUGAGUUUAGAUACAUACAAAAAGGAAUAUG
rnacentral:snoRNA from 1 species